rnacentral:lncRNA from 1 species
CCCGAAUUUUGUACUAAAGGUCACGGGGCUUGACUAACUGGGAAUCCACGUCUAUCUCUGUGGGGCCAAGCUGGAAAAUUGCAGUCUUUGGUUCAAAACUGAACUCAUGGGAAAGAACACGGUCGGAUGCAUCUUCUUCCCCCUCCCUGACACGGACUCGCAAAUUUAUCCAUCGCGGACAGCGCGGCGUCAGCCGUCCCAGCCGAACAGGGACGGGGGGAAGACUGAGCCUGUUUAAACGAAAGCGCAUGCUCUUUAAAAACUAGCGUACGACGAGGAGCAGCUACAGACACACGACUGGCACUUUCGCGAGUGUGUUCGUUGUUGGGUACCACGAUGAGCGCGUUCCGAACCGUCCAAGCCAGUGGGAAGGCAGAGGCUCAUAAGAAAUAACUGGUACAAUAACAAAGAACGAGGCGCAGCCCAUCUUUAGGCGCUUCCUCUGGCCUUCCCCCCAGGAGUUCUCUCUCGCGUACCCGUCUACGUGAUGUGCGCCGCCCGUCGUAGUCCCGGCAGCAAACGCAGAGCCUAACGGGCAAACCCGCAUACGUCUUCCGGGUACCGGAGCAACGCUUAACACUUACAUGGCGCUACGUUUUAGAGCGGCGACGCCCCUUCCGUUUAGGAGACGCGAGUGCAUUUCGAUGCAAGCAACCUGCUCCACAGAAUUGGCACGUAGCGUCGGAGCGAAAGUGCCAUAGAUUCCAACGUCUGUAAUCCAGUUUCCACUGGACAGUAGACCUGUAACCCUCUUUCCUAUAUUUCUAGGAAGAGGAGAAAAAAAGUUGAAUUUCAUGAAGGAAUGUUUGUGCGAUUAACCUUAGGGGGAAGCUAAUGGAAUGUGUUUCUCAAUAGCAGUAAAAAAUGUUAAAUGCGUUUGAUCCUUUACCACGUCGGUGAGCGCGGAGUCUCCUGCAGUUUUGCUUCGUGGGGAAAGGGUGCGUCGCGAAAACAAACAAACAAAUCCUGCGCGUUUGCUAGCAUGGAAUCUAAUAUGCAGCUCCGUUCAGGGAAAUCAAAAGAGCUUUCACUGUGUGUAUUUAUGAAACGUGAUUAGUUCCUCUGCAUCCUGCCUGGUUGCAGAAUCAAAUUUGAUGUCGAAGUCGAGCCAAAAUGCCUUGUUGGGCACAGACAACGCUUCACAACACACACCACACGUGGAGAGAUCUUCGCGCGGCUUUGGCUGCAGUGUAUCCCG